rnacentral:pre_miRNA from 1 species
AUUUCAUUUUCUUCGAACUGAGUCAUUGAUGUGUUCUUGUAUAAUGCUAAGAAUAUUCUUUGACUUUGGUUUGAAGAACUAUAUGCAAU